AAUUGUUUAACAGAAAUAUGAAAAAAAAAUUACAUUACACAAGCAUGCCUGUUAAUCACCAGCUGCAACAUAAUAAUUCAAAAGAAUCAAAACUAAACAUUAAGUUCAGACACAAGAAACCAAUUGCAGGCUACAACAGACGCCAUCAAAAUUUACAGAAUUCGAAUCAAGUCAUUACAAUAGUAGUCUAAGUCUAGUGUGCUUCAGCAAUAAAAAAAACUAAAACGAAACAUAAAGUCUGAUGGGUGAUGCACCAGAGCUAUUGACGUGCAAGCGUUAACGCAGCGGGGUGAAUCUUUGAUUGUGAUUAGGGUUUGAGGCGGGGCGGCUGAGACUUACAAGUGGUAUA
rnacentral:lncRNA from 1 species